rnacentral:rRNA from 1 species
GAUGAACGCUGGCGGCGUGCUUAACACAUGCAAGUCGAACGAAGCGCCUUAUUUGAUUUUCUUCGGAACUGAAGAUUUGGUGACUGAGUGGCGGACGGGUGAGUAACGCGUGGGUAACCUGCCCUGUACAGGGGGAUAACAAUCAGAAAUGACUGCUAAUACCGCAUAAGACCACAGCACCGCAUGGUGCAGGGGUAAAAACUCCGGUGGUACAGGAUGGACCCGCGUCUGAUUAGCUGGUUGGUGAGGUAACGGCUCACCAAGGCGACGAUCAGUAGCCGGCUUGAGAGAGUGAACGGCCACAUUGGGACUGAGACACGGCCCAAACUCCUACGGGAGGCAGCAGUGGGGAAUAUUGCACAAUGGGGGGAACCCUGAUGCAGCGACGCCGCGUGAGUGAAGAAGUAUUUCGGUAUGUAAAGCUCUAUCAGCAGGGAAGAAAAUGACGGUACCUGACUAAGAAGCCCCGGC